rnacentral:rRNA from 1 species
CCUACGGGAGGCAGCAGUGGGGAAUAUUGGACAAUGGGCGCAAGCCUGAUCCAGCCAUACCGCGUGUGUGAAGAAGGCCUUUUGGUUGUAAAGCACUUUAAGCGAGGAGGAGGCUCUUGAGGUUAAUACCCUUGAUGAGUGGACGUUACUCGCAGAAUAAGCACCGGCUAACUCUGUGCCAGCAGCCGCGGUAAUACAGAGGGUGCGAGCGUUAAUCGGAAUUACUGGGCGUAAAGCGCGCGUAGGCGGCUUGUUAAGUCGGAUGUGAAAUCCCCGGGCUCAACCUGGGCACUGCAUUCGAUACUGGCAAGCUAGAGUAUGGGAGAGGAAGGUAGAAUUCCAGGUGUAGCGGUGAAAUGCGUAGAGAUCUGGAGGAAUACCGAUGGCGAAGGCAGCCUUCUGGCCUAAUACUGACGCUGAGGUGCGAAAGCAUGGGGAGCAAACAGGAUUAGAUACCCUGGUAGUCCAUGCCGUAAACGAUGUCAACUAGCCGUUGGGGACCUUGAGUCUUUAGUGGCGCAGCUAACGCGAUAAGUUGACCGCCUGGGGAGUACGGUCGCGAAGACUAAAACUCAAAGGAAUUGACGG